AUGGCUCAUGUAGAGUCUGAAGACAAGAGUAAAGAUAGAGUCCUAGUCGGUGCUCCUUACAUUUGGAUCGUAACGAACUUUGUGCAUUGCCCUGAGGACACUAAUGAUGAUAUGAUCCAGACGUAUGCUCACGUGUACGUGCGGUAUGUUAUCUCUAAGACUCUCUUUGCUGAUGGUGGUGGCAGGACUACCGCUAAAUGGAUGUGGAUCAAGGCGUUGAUUGUCUUCGACAACAAAUUUAGCUAG
rnacentral:rRNA from 1 species